rnacentral:rRNA from 1 species
UACGUAGGGGGCAAGCGUUGUCCGGAUUUACUGGGUGUAAAGGGAGCGUAGACGGCGAUGCAAGCCAGAUGUGAAAGCCCGGGGCUCAACCCCGGGACUGCAUUUGGAACUGUAUAGCUAGAGUGUCGGAGAGGCAGGCGGAAUUCCUAGUGUAGCGGUGAAAUGCGUAGAUAUUAGGAGGAACACCAGUGGCGAAGGCGGUCUGCUGGACAGCAACUGACGCUGAGGCGCGAAAGCGUGGGGAGCAAACAGG